UGGAUCGUCCUGUAAUUAUUUUGACAAAUAAUUUAAUUUGCUGUUUUCAGGAAUUUGUCCACUCUUUUGCCUCAGUUUUCACAACUGGUGUUUUAUCACUGGCUGCCUGCUGUGACUGUUUCCUCUAAUAACUCAAGAGUAAUUUAACAACACGAAGUGUGACUCUCCAGAGCUGGUGACUUUUAGGGAGAUAUUGUUAGCAAAAUGUGCUUUUCGUCAUCAAAUGUCUUCACUAUUAGCUGUCAGUGUUGUUCGCAUGACCAGUCGACUACGUGACUUUGCGAACAAGGCGAGUUUCUCGCUGGUCCCUGCUACAGCCUUGGCACGCCCCAUCUUCUAUAGGUCCGUGACAGCUACUGCUUCUCACAUAAGUAAUUUUGGGGCCACUGUGAUGUACUCUCAACCAAGGAUUUUUUUUUGUCUUCUCCUUGCCUGUCUACUUACUUGAAAGUAACAAUCCCAUGCGAAGUCCACAGGCACCUUUUCUGAAACUGCUCCACUUCCCCAAGCAGAUGAGGGAAGAGAUGGGAGGAAAAUCCUUCGAAUGAGACGUGGGCUGGGACAGCGAGCGAGCUCUUCCUGUUACAAAAUUGACUUUUGGCUGUAUUCAGGUGGACCCCUACUCCUUUGUACAAUAUUCAUCUCUGUGAUUAUGUGAGAGAAGGGUCGUGGCCAUCGUGUCGCUGUGGUACACCAGGUCCCAGAAUGGCAGCUGACGUGAGUAGCUACCGAAGUCAUGCUGUGGGAUGUGACGAUCAGCAGCUCCAGGUGUAACAGCUGCAUCUGAAGUUAACAUGAGGGAAGCCCUCUCAGGGAAGGGGAGCAACAUUGUAACUGUGAGCCUGACUCCCUGGUCUCUGUGGAUACAUUCUAGCCCCCAAGUGCCGGGAUGAUUAAGCUCCUCUCACUGUUGCAAAAUACAUGAUCUGCUAGUUCUGUGACCCUUGCUUAUGUAUAUCUCCUGGCUGUGAUAAGACAACUUUAUUCUCUGAGUUCCCCAGGAACAUGACGACCUCCAGAAAGAAAAAUUCUGUUGGUACCCAUCACGAAUGACAGAAGAAAGAGAUUAUGUGACACUCUGUAGUUUGUCCCACCGGGUGGUUGACAUCCUUAACCCCCCUCCUUCCCCGCCCAUUUCCCUACCUAACUGCCUCGCGAUUCUGUAUGAUUUUAAGAUGGCUCUUCAGGACACCAGUCCACCAUCUUCCGAUUAUGCUGGCUAAUCAUCUAAAUUUUCCUCUCUCGACCACUGGCUUGUUUACAAUUGACGGGCACCAGAUUGCGGUGAGCAGAAUGAGCCCCUUUUUACU
rnacentral:lncRNA from 1 species